GCUAAACUCCAACUCUUAAUUGUGUAGGAACGUUUUCAACACUAUGGCCUGUUUGUUCUGGGAGAGAUUUAAAAAUAAAAUCUACAUUUGUUCUAAGUUGAUUCAUCCUCCACUUCAGGAGCACUGAGGGUGAUAUAACUGAGAAAAAAAUCUGCCACAGACAGCAACAAGCACAAUUUUUCAUCGUAAGGAGACAAAUCCUGCUCCAGUAAUAUAAGUUUUCUUUGCUGUUCCCAAAGAACAGAAAGAAGUAUAGCUAAGCACACCCAUUUGUUUUCCAAAGUGCCUGUGGUUAAUUUAGUGAAUUCUGACUGACAGAAAAUUUUAUUAUGUAGGUUCUGAACAAUCUGAAAAUAAAUCAAAUAGCUGACAAAAUAGAGGAUACUCUAGUUUUCAGAGGGCACUUACCCAUCUACGGCAGUUCCAUCUAUCAGCUUUAUUUCAGGUCACACACUGAAUGAUGGUGAGUGUCUAAGAGAGUAUCAUUGCUUUUUUUGUCAUUUCUGCUCAGAAAAAAAGCUGAAUGGACCUGGCACAAGACAAAACUGCGUGGACAUCAUCUUAUUUCAUUAUUUCAAAGAUUUUCAGCUCUAAUUUUCAAUGUGCUUUCAGUGGAGUUCAGUGUAGAACAGAUGCCAUGAAGUUUCUCCGAAUUUCCUGACCUAAAGAAUUUGUUCUUCACAGACAAAACUAAUAAUUUUAAUUUAUUGAAAACAAACAGGAAGUAGUUUGACUCUCUAGUUGCAGACACCGUAAGACAGUAUUCAACAACAGAUCAAAUAACAAUAGUUAAGAAUCAUAGAACAUUCUGUGUACAUAGGACCACCCCAAAAUCAGACCAUAUUACUGAGAACAUUGUCCAAAUGCUUCUUGAACUUCAGAAGCUCCAGUCCACGCUCACCGCCCUGGGCAGCCCGUUCCAUGCCCAUCACCCUAUGGUGCAGCACCUGUACCUAACCCCCAGAUGCCCC
ensembl:lncRNA